UGUUACGGCGGGGCUGGAGAGGGACACCUUUGGGUGUGCAGGUGACCUAGUGAGCCUGUCGGCCAACCCUUUUCAGCUUCGCCACCCUC
rnacentral:antisense_RNA from 1 species